ACAGUGACAUUUUUCUCGCUUUACACACGUCAUAUUAUUCUGCUAGCAAUCACAUAACGUAGAAUACUUCAGUGAUGUGUUAGGGUAAUUUAAGGAAAUCAUUUUGUUUGGUUUAUUUUGGUUCUGAUGAAUUACAGGCGUGUUUUGUCGAUGUAGUUUUGAACAGCCCCGGUUAGGUGCUAGUUUGGCGAACAAACUGUUUCGGCCGUAUUGUUUACUGCACUUGUCUGAUAACUGAAUUACCGGGUCGCCGGAAUCAGCAAACAAUUAAAACUACGUUUAUACUGUCUUUGGUUACCGGUUAUUCGUUCGUAAAAUACUGUACAGCAAUCAAAACG